UGUGUCUGCAGCCUGGUGGGUGUCUCCAGCUGUCCUUUAACUUCUCCAUUUCCCUCAGUUCCCUGGGAAGGUUCAGGGUGGUGGGCUUGCCUUUCAGGAUGCCUUUCAUCGUCAGGGCCCCUGUGUCCACUGCUGUGACAUUUGGUGAGGAACAGCUCCCUUCCUGGAGCCAAAGAGCAUUCAUUGUCUGGCCACAGGAAAAGCACGCCACAUGUCCCCUGACGACCUGAAGAUGAAUCCUGACUGCCUGGACAUGCCUGGGCGGGUGUACCCAUGGCCUGUGGUUGAACCAGCCACACCUUGUCUCUUGGCCAGAGGUAAUGUCCAGGCUCAUCUCUCUGUGUAGUAACUGGACCCAGCUGGAGGGUGGGAGGUGAUAGCUCCUGGGAAGUCCGGUCCGGGGUCCUGGCCAGGGAGUCACAGUGGCUGCUCUGCAGGCUGCCCUGAGGCUGAGGGCUGUGAGUCCUGGGAUCUGCUGGGG
rnacentral:lncRNA from 1 species